GGGGCGCCGCCGGCGCCUUUCCUCCGCAAUGUUGCAAACGGCCAUCGGGGAAACCGGACUGCCACUCUUAACGGGGUGGCUUUUCUGAAGUGUAAAACGCUUCAGGAAUAAGAGCUGGGCAAGACCGGUGCCAGCCGCCGCGGUAACACCGGCAGCUCAAGUGGUGGCCAUUUUUAUUGGGCCUAAAGCGUUCGUAGCCGGCUUGAUAAUCCUCUGGUGAAAUCCCACAGCUAAACUGUGGGAAUUGCUGGACAUACUAAGUACGCUUGAGGUCGGGAGAGGUCGGAGGUGCUCCCAUGGCAGGGGUGAAAUCCUAUUAUCCUGGGAGGACCACCUGUGGACUUGGCGUCCAGGUGGAACGGACCUGACGGUGAGUAACGAAAGCCCCACUUGCGAACCGGAUUAGACCCCGGGUAGUGCUGGCCGUCUUGCAUGUGUACUUGGUGUGAGGAUGGCUCCCAUCUGACCCACCGCCCAAGGGAAACUGGUAAUUGCACCGCCUGCGAAGCACUGUCGCAAGACUGAAAC
rnacentral:rRNA from 1 species